UUUUCUCUGCGUGAGGGAUUGAAGUGGAGCUCUUUUUUUGUUUGGCGUUUUUUAGCCAAAUAAAAAAAAGCGGGAACGAAAAGCCCGACCCGUA
rnacentral:sRNA from 26 species